rnacentral:snRNA from 1 species
AGCUUUGUGCAGUGGUGGAAUUAUAGCCAAUGAGGUUUAUCCAAGACAUGAUUAUUGCUAAUUGAAACAAAGCCUAUUGGG